UAAGCGAAUGUGUGAACGUUCGUUGAACGAUCAGAAGUCAGCAGAAGCCAUAGUACCUGUUGAUUCUAGAUGAACAGGGAAGGGC
rfam:Gracilibacillus halophilus YIM-C55.5 contig_88, whole genome shotgun sequence.